rnacentral:rRNA from 1 species
UACAGAGGGUGCGAGCGUUAAUCGGAAUUACUGGGCGUAAAGCGCACGUAGGCGGCGACGUAAGUCGGGUGUGAAAGCCCCGGGCUCAACCUGGGAAUUGCAUUCGAGACUGCAUUGCUGGAGUACGGAAGAGGAAGGCGGAAUUCCCGGUGUAGCGGUGAAAUGCGUAGAUAUCAGGAGGAACACCGGUGGCGAAGGCGGGUCUCUGGGCCGAUACUGACGCUGAGGAGCGAAAGCGUGGGGAGCGAACAGG